GAUGAAGAACGCAGCGAAAUGCGAUAAGUAAUGUGAAUUGCAGAAUUCAGUGAAUCAUCGAAUCUUUGAACGCACAUUGCGCCCUCUGGUAUUCCGGGGGGCAUGCCUGUUCGAGCGUCAUUACAACCCUCAGGCCCCCGGGCCUGGCGUUGGGGAUCGGCGGAGCCCCCCGUGGGCACACGCCGUCCCCCAAAUGCAGUGGCGGUCCCGCCGCAGCUUCCAUCGCGUAGUAGCUAACACCUCGCGACUGGAGAGCGGCGCGGCCACGCCGUAAAACACCCAACUCUUCUGAAGUUGACCUCGAAUCAGGUAGGAAUACCCGCUGAACUUAAGCAUAUCAAUAAGCGGAGGA
rnacentral:misc_RNA from 1 species